AACGCACCUUGCGCUCCUUGGUAUUCCUCGGAGCAUGCCUGUUUGAGUAUCAUGAAAUCCUCAAAAUAAAUCUUUUGUUCAUUCGAUUGAUUUUAUUUUGGACUUGGGGGUCUGUAGAUUCACGUCUGCUCCUCUUAAAUUCAUUAGCUGGAUCUCGAUGAGCUCGGUUCCACUCGGCGUGAUAAGUAUCACUCGCUGAGGACACUGUAAAAGGUGGCCGGGAUUAUUUAAAGAACCGCUUCUAAUAGUCUAUUAGCUUAGACAAUUUUAUUUAUGAUCUGAUCUCAAAUCAGGUAGGACUACCCGCUGAACUUAA
rnacentral:misc_RNA from 1 species